CCUACGGGAGGCAGCAGUGAGGAAUAUUGGUCAAUGGGCGAGAGCCUGAACCAGCCAAGUCGCGUGAAGGAUGACGGCCCUACGGGUUGUAAACUUCUUUUGUCAGGGAGCAAUUGGGUCCACGCGUGGGCUUAGCGAGAGUACCUGAAGAAAAAGCAUCGGCUAACUCCGUGCCAGCAGCCGCGGUAAUACGGGGGAUGCGAGCGUUAUCCGGAUUUAUUGGGUUUAAAGGGUGCGUAGGCGGAAUAUCAAGUCAGCGGUAAAAAUUCGGGGCUCAACCCCGUCGUGCCGUUGAAACUGGUGGUCUUGAGUGGGCGAGAGGUAUGCGGAAUGCGUGGUGUAGCGGUGAAAUGCAUAGAUAUCACGCAGAACUCCGAUUGCGAAGGCAGCAUACCGGCGCCCAACUGACGCUGAAGCACGAAAGCGUGGGUAUCGAACAGGAUUAGAUACCCGGGUAGUC
rnacentral:rRNA from 1 species